ACGGGAGGCAGCAGUGGGGAAUAUUGCGCAAUGGGGGCAACCCUGACGCAGCCAUGCCGCGUGAAUGAAGAAGGCCUUCGGGUUGUAAAGUUCUUUCGGUGAUGAGGAAGGCGAUUGUUUUAAUAGAACGAUUGAUUGACGUUAGUCACAGAAGAAGCACCGGCUAACUCCGUGCCAGCAGCCGCGGUAAUACGGAGGGUGCGAGCGUUAAUCGGAAUAACUGGGCGUAAAGGGCACGCAGGCGGACUUUUAAGUGAGGUGUGAAAUCCCCGGGCUUAACCUGGGAAUUGCAUUUCAGACUGGGGGUCUAGAGUACUUUAGGGAGGGGUAGAAUUCCACGUGUAGCGGUGAAAUGCGUAGAGAUGUGGAGGAAUACCGAAGGCGAAGGCAGCCCCUUGGGGAUGUACUGACGCUCAUGUGCGAAAGCGUGGGGAGCAAACAGGAUUAGAUACCCUGGUA
rnacentral:rRNA from 1 species